CUAUACAGUUAGCAUGCACAUUUCGAAUUUCAGUUCCUUUUCCUUUUUAGCUUUUUAAAACUCGAACGGAUGAACAAUUCCCUCCUUGCAAGAAUCACAGAAUCAAAUUCCGAAAAAUCCAGAGCUGGUGUGUUAAUAAAAAAAUCAAAUUCCACCACCUUGUGUCAAUCAUGUUAAAAUUUAUGAUAUGAUGUUGAUACACUCUCCUCUUAAGAAAAUACCAUCAGAGGUUCGUUCGGGUUGGCAUAAGAAGAGAUGUCUGAAACUAAAUUUACGUAAUAAUUUUUUUAGAUCAGUCGGGACUUUAGUUUAAGAUGACCUUUUUUUGCGUCCUUGUAUCCGAAUUUCUAGAAAUGCCGAACAACCUGAAUUGAACCAAACAUUCGAAACAGAAAGCAAGCUCUAGCCCAUACCUACAAUUCAACUCAAAAGUGUGCUAAAACGUAUAAACCUAUACCUAAAACUCUUCAUUCCAUAGUAUGUAGUAGUAUAUUAAGUGAAGCAUAUUAUCUUCUACUAAUAAUUUAUCAUGAAUCAUUGACAACUUUCUUUCCUUACAAUAAUUCCAUUCUGAUCUGCUUUGUUGCUUCCGAAUUGGCCCUUUGACAGCUGACGUGCCCCGAGAGUCUUGUAUCAUACUUGUGUCUGCGGAAAAGUAGGUGUGUUUUCGCCAAUAGUCCAGCAUCUUUGCUGAAUAUCAAGCAGUUUAUAUAUAGUUUAUAUAUAGAGUGUUUUAAACGAGUCCCCGUGUAGAGCGAAAACGAAGGCCUUACAAGAAGAGUCUUCCGUUAGGCAUAUCUUAACUAGCUGCAACUGAAGUCUCAGCAAAGAAAGAUGACCGGGGUUAUCAGAUGUUUAUUGAUCAUUGUGCUAUGUGUUCAACUUCUUAUUGUAACGAGUUUCGCUACUGAGAACAAGCUGUCGAUGUCCGUGAAGCAGAAUCUUGAUGAUCAUGUUGUGGCGAUCAAUCCAAGAGGAGAAGAGGGUAGUAAAGAAAGAGCGGAUCAUGAAAUUAAGGAUGAGGUGGUUGUCUCAAAAAAGUCUCAGGGAAAGAAAGGUUCUGGUGGUGGUAACAAUGUUGUUCGCGAUCCUGCAGGGAAGAAAAAAAAUGACGCGAUGUCUAAGGUGCCCCGGACUAUGUCUCUGUACAUCUCAGUUUUCUUGUUUUUUGCUCUGUGUUUCUGAUUGUUGUCAAUUCUUUUGGCAUGGAGCAAAAGUUAAGCUAGCUGGGAAUAACAUAUAUUUGGAUUUCUUGAUCAAUCUCUCUAUUUUGGUUGAUUUGCUCUGUGCUAGAUUCGUUGUUCAGCAGUUGAAUAGUUCCUAUCUGUUUUGGUUUCAUAAUAAACUUGUGAGCCUGCAGAGGAUAGCUCCUGCGUCGUUGAAGUUGUACUCAACUGGCUCGACUUCAGUAGUUAAUACACUAUUAGGCAUUCUUCUUUGUUAGUUAAUUAGUCAGAUCAUUAGGUUUAUAGUGUGCUUUAAUGUGUGAGGAUUUCGAGUAUUUGUGAAUUGUAUCUUCUUAAAGUCUAUUAUCUGCGUCAGUACUAUCUUCUGUUGAAUUGUGUUUGGUUGUUAUGAUGUUAUGUUAAACCUGCAACACAUGCUCAGAAUUCGAGCAGUUGAAGGAUAGAGACUAUUCUUAUCUAGUUUUUGCGUGUUUCUCCUUUU